rnacentral:rRNA from 1 species
AGAGUUUGAUCCUGGCUCAGGAUGAACGCUAGCUACAGGCUUAACACAUGCAAGUCGAGGGGCAGCAUGGUCUUAGCUUGCUAAGGCCGAUGGCGACCGGCGCACGGGUGAGUAACACGUAUCCAACCUGCCGUCUACUCUUGGACAGCCUUCUGAAAGGAAGAUUAAUACAAGAUGGCAUCAUGAGUCCGCAUGUUCACAUGAUUAAAGGUAUUCCGGUAGACGAUGGGGAUGCGUUCCAUUAGAUAGUAGGCGGGGUAACGGCCCACCUAGUCUUCGAUGGAUAGGGGUUCUGAGAGGAAGGUCCCCCACAUUGGAACUGAGACACGGUCCAAACUCCUACGGGAGGCAGCAGUGAGGAAUAUUGGUCAAUGGGCGAGAGCCUGAACCAGCCAAGUAGCGUGAAGGAUGACUGCCCUAUGGGUUGUAAACUUCUUUUAUAAAGGAAUAAAGUCGGGUAUGCAUACCCGUUUGCAUGUACUUUAUGAAUAAGGAUCGGCUAACUCCGUGCCAGCAGCCGCGGUAAUACGGAGGAUCCGAGCGUUAUCCGGAUUUAUUGGGUUUAAAGGGAGCGUAGAUGGAUGUUUAAGUCAGUUGUGAAAGUUUGCGGCUCAACCGUAAAAUUGCAGUUGAUACUGGAUAUCUUGAGUGCAGUUGAGGCAGGCGGAAUUCGUGGUGUAGCGGUGAAAUGCUUAGAUAUCACGAAGAACUCCGAUUGCGAAGGCAGCCUGCUAAGCUGCAACUGACAUUGAGGCUCGAAAGUGUGGGUAUCAAACAGGAUUAGAUACCCUGGUAGUCCACACCGUAAACGAUGAGCACUAGGUGUCGGGGUCGCAAGACUUCGGUGCCGCAGUUAACGCAUUAAGUGCUCCGCCUGGGGAGUACGUACGCAAGUAUGAAACUCAAAGGAAUUGACGGGGACCCGCACAAGCAGCGGAGCAUGUGGUUUAAUUCGAAGCAACGCGAAGAACCUUACCAGGACUUGACAUCCCUCUGAAACCCCUGAUAACGAAGGGGCCUCUUCGGACAGAGGAGACAGGUGGUGCAUGGUUGUCGUCAGCUCGUGUCGUGAGAUGUUGGGUUAAGUCCCGCAACGAGCGCAACCCUUGCUGUUAGUUGCCAUCAUUGAGUUGGGCACUCUAACGGGACUGCCGGGGAUAACUCGGAGGAAGGUGGGGAUGACGUCAAAUCAUCAUGCCCCUUAUGGGCUGGGCUACACACGUGCUACAAUGGUGCUAACAGAGUGAGGCGAGACUGUGAAGUUAAGCAAAUCACAAAAAUGGCAUCUCAGUUCGGAUUGUAGUCUGCAACUCGACUACAUGAAGCUGGAAUCGCUAGUAAUCGCAGAUCAGAAUGCUGCGGUGAAUACGUUCCCGGGUCUUGUACACACCGCCCGUCAAG